rnacentral:tRNA from 1 species
UCCUGGGUGGCUUAGUUGGUUAAGCAUCUGACUUCGGCUCAGGUCAUGAUCUCACGGCUCAGGUCAUGAUCUCACGGUUCGUGAGUUCGAGCCCCGCCUCGGGCU